GAUGAACGCUAGCGGCGGGCUUAAUACAUGCAAGUCGAGGGGCAGCACGAUGUAGCAAUACAUUGGUGGCGACCGGCGGACGGGUGCGUAACACGUAUGCAACUUGCCCUAUACUAGGGAAUAGCCCGAAGAAAUUCGGAUUAAUACCCUAUAACAUCUGAAAAGGCAUCUUUUUGGGUUCAAAGCUCCGGCGGUAUAGGAUGGGCAUGCGGUCGAUUAGCUUGUUGGUGAGGUAAUAGCUCACCAAGGCGACGAUCGAUAGGGGGCCUGAGAGGGUGAUCCCCCACACUGGUACUGAGACACGGACCAGACUCCUACGGGAGGCAGCAGUAAGGAAUAUUGGUCAAUGGGCGCAAGCCUGAACCAGCCACGCCGCGUGAAGGAAGACGGCCCUAUGGGUUGUAAACUUCUUUUCUACGGGAAUAAACCUCAGGACGUGUCCUGAGCUGAAGGUAUCGUAGGAAUAAGGAUCGGCUAACUCCGUGCCAGCCGCCGCGGUAACAC
rnacentral:rRNA from 1 species